GGGGAUUUAGCUCAAUGGUAGAGCGCUUGCCUAGGAAGCGCAAGGCCCUGGGUUCGGUUCCCAGCUCCG
rnacentral:tRNA from 1 species